CCGGGGUGAGUAUUACAUCAGGUACUGGUGUGAUUUAAAAAAACCGGAACAUUGAUUUGUUUCCCAGUUGCUGGGGAACUAUCAUCCGGUCAACUAUCAGUACUUGUGUUAUACUCUCUCCGU
rnacentral:pre_miRNA from 2 species